AUCGGCCUACGGGGCGCAGCAGUAGGGAAUUUUCGUCAAUGGGCGCAAGCCUGAACGAGCAAUGCCGCGUGAACGAGGAAGGUCUUCGGAUCGUAAAGUUCUGUUGAAGGGGAAAAAGAGCGGAGAGAGGAAAUGAACUCCGAUUGAUAUUACCCUUCGAGGAAGUCACGGCUAACUACGUGCCAGCAGCCGCGGUAAUACGUAGGUGGCGAGCGUUAUCCGGAAUGAUUGGGCGUAAAGGGUGCGUAGGCGGCCUGCUAAGUCUGGAGUGAAAGGAACCGGCUCAACCGGUACAGGCGCUGGAA
rnacentral:rRNA from 1 species